rnacentral:rRNA from 1 species
UACGUAGGGGGCAAGCGUUGUCCGGAUUUAUUGGGCGUAAAGCGCGUGUAGGCGGCCAGGUAGGUCCGUUGUGAAAACUCGAGGCUUAACCUCGAGAUGUCAUCGGAAACCAUUUGGCUAGAGUCCGGAAGAGGAAAGUGGAAUUCCUGGUGUAGCGGUGAAAUGCGCAGAUAUCAGGAAGAACACCCGUGGCGAAGGCGGCUCACUGGUCCGGUACUGACGCUGGAGGUGCGAAAGCGUGGGGAGCGAUCCGG